rnacentral:sRNA from 1 species
UUUGCACUCAUCGGGGAAGGGUGAGAACCUUCGACUAAGGUUCGAUUCGAGCGAAAGCGAGAGAACGUUGCCACAGGCAACGGCCCGAAGGGUGAGGAGCGAAGCGACGAAUAAUCCUUUCCCCACCACCA